rnacentral:piRNA from 1 species
UAAGCUGAAUGACUACUAUUGCUAAGAAAG